rfam:Brucella melitensis biovar Abortus 2308 chromosome I, complete sequence, strain 2308
UAUCUGGCUGUUGAGGCUUAUGGGUUACACGUGGACCAAGCCCGCCCGAAGCCGAUAUGGCCAGCGCAGAGCGGGAAAAAUCAAAAUCAGU